rnacentral:lncRNA from 1 species
CAAAUCCUGUUCCUCCUUAUCUGAAAAGAGCUGGCUUUAGGCCAUCUAAGCUCGAGGAUUUUGGAGAUGGAGGUGCAUUCCCUGAAAUUCACUAUGCUCAGUAUCCACUGGAUAUGGGCAGAAAGAAGGAUUGGAAACCUGGGGGGAAGACCUUGCCUGUUACAGUGGAUGAGCAUGGUGAUGUGAGGUAUGAUGCGAUUGUGCUAUGCUCAGUAUCCACUGGAUAUGGGAAGAAAGAAGGAUUGGAAACCUGGGGGGAAGACCUUGCCUGUUACAGUGGAUGAGCAUGGUGAUGUGAGGUAUGAUGCGAUUGUGAGGCAGAAUGAGAAUUCGAAAAAAAUUGUUUAUUCUCAGCAUAAAGAUCUUAUCCCAAAGUUUGUGAAGGACGAG